CCCUCAUAAACGCUAUAAUGCAAUAUGUUUUCACAUUAUAUUUUCUUGCUGUUAUUUUCUUUCUGUUUAGCAUUUUAUCUAAUUUUGAACGAAUUGUCACUUGUUUGUAUUGAAGAAAAUGAUAUGAUUAUCUUAUUUUGAAAACAUGUAGUCACACGUAAUAUAUUACUAAACGUUGUUUUAACUUUUAACAACACAUUUUCAGUGGUAUGCUGCGAUUGUAUUUACAUUAUAUGACAUUUACAGAUCAUUCAAUCGAUUAGGGGAGAAGAAGUGGAGUAUGGAACGUAGGCCUACACACCGUAGGUGUCGAUAAUGGUGUGUCUGGAUGAGUCCACUGAAAGGUGUUUGGUAUUUAGUAGUUUUGUAUGCCAUAACCUUGUAGAACUAUCAAAAACCACCAGCAUGGCCCGCGGACUUUUGCCAUUGAGAAGCGCAACAUCGGGUUAGUUAUAAAAACCAACAUUAACACGGCAAUAGUGAGGCUAGACCAAUCAUAGACUAAUAGACUAAACAGUAAGGUCAGGUAAGUGAAAGGCAUUGUUGAUUUGAUUUGAUUUUAUAGAAUGUGUCUUUUCUUGUUGAAGGUGGAUAUAGGCCUACUUUCUUGUGACAUGUUUCCAUGGCAAACAUUCAUAGCCUACUUAAACUGUGGAAUAUAAUUUCACAUGAUUCACUAAAUGCUAGGCUUUUCGACCAGUCAAGUUCGAAUGUUAAAGAAACUUCGUCAUUUGCGGAAGGAAAAAAAAAAUACAACCAUUAGGCCAAUACUUUAUUACGAUUCAUAUUUUUACAGUGAAUAUCAUAUGCCUAUAGAGUUGGUUGAUGGUAAGGUCCCAACACCUAUAGUUUAUGCCUACCAAUGUAACCCACACAAUCACGAGGCCAAUUCUGAGUGUUUGUGUCUGCAAUUCCCCGAUCAAGAACGUUGUACUUAAGGCUGUGUUUGAGCAAUGGUAAUAGCCAAUUAGUGUACAGUCUGACCGCAGUUGCUGAAAUAAAGUAACAGAAAAAACACUAUUUUGCAAAUAUUUUAUUUUCAGUAACACAUUUGGUAGGCUACAUAUAGACUACUGCUACUCCAUAUUUUAAGUCUUUGGAAUGCAAAAGGUUUAAACCCACACGGAGACAGAUAAUGAUUUCCUAUGUAUAUAUAUCAUUCAACUAAUUACAUAAACCAAGGCAGACAUUAUGCUCAAUUUAUUUGUUUUAGGGGUUCCACAGUAAGCCUAUGCGCAUAUAGGCCCAGUUGAUGUUGUGGUUUUAUUUAGGCCUAGCCUAUAGGCCUAUGUGUUAGCUCGGUGAGUGCACAUGGACCUUUGUAUCUUAACUUUUGUUUUUAACUUUAACUUCAACCUAAAUAAUUUAUCAUGUUGAGCAAAAUGAGUGUGUCAAUUUGUAUUUGUUCACAUGACCGAAUUAGGUGCACAAGUCACUAGUGCUAUAGUCUACCCAGCUAGCACAUAACGUUCUGAGAACAAUAUGUUUCUCAGAGCUUGGCGAGAGCAGGAUUGUCUUAUGGUUAUUUUUGCAUGCAACCUUCCCACAACUUUCUGGGAAUGGUGCAGGAUAGUUGCUUGGCUUUGGAACAUUCUCAGCACAUUUAAGGAACUUGAAAAAAAAAAGUAAUUUCAUUACUAUUAACAAAACAUUUCCUAAAAGUUCAAAAAUGGUUUACAUUUCAUUUCCAUUUUGGUAAUGUUCUAGGAGCAUUCUCCAGCUGGUUUGACAGAAUGUUCUCAAAUAGUUCAGAGAACUUUAAGAAACAACAUUCUUCUGUGAGAAUUUCUGUACUUCAGUGUAAUAUUUCCUACAGGUUUCCUCAUGGUUCUAUUUAAAGUAAUGUUCUCAACUUGUUCAAAGAAUGUUAAGAAAACUUUCCAUCUAGAAGAAAAAUAAACGCACACCUAUUAAGGCGAGGUGCUGUCUAGCGGAGUAGGAAACUUGAAAAUAAAGGAGAGAUGCACACUCUAGGAGCUCAGAUACAAAAAAGUAAUAUCCAAUGUUUCGACAGCCAAGCUGUCUUCAUCAGGAUAUAAUCACAAACACUGCGGGAUGACUCGUUUAUAGAGUGUCAAAAGACACACAGGUGUCUGUAAUCAUGGCCAAGAGUGGCCUAAUAUCAUUGGUUAAUUCUCAAAUAUUAAAAUGGCAUACAAAGAACAGCAUACAAAAAACAAAUGGAUAGCAACCUAAAAAAUAUACCGAACACGCAAAAAGUUUACUUCUGUUCUCGGAACAUUUAAAGAAAAGUUCAAUUUUACAGGUCAGGAAACUUCCUUCCCACAACCAAUGUGAAACCUAAAACAUAAGUUCUCACAACUUCCAAGGAACCAAAUGUGCUAGCUGCGUAUAGCCUGCCAACAUUGCCUGGAUAUGUGGUGUAGGACCUACACUUUAUAUGAGAGAGCAUAUCGAGUAAAAAAACACAAAUUAUUUAAAAUGUAUCGGAUACAAGAUGUUUGUCCCCCUGCCAUACCAUAUGCUGUUAUAAAUCUGCUCUACAUGUCCCUUGAUUCUUUUCAUCAUUCCCCUUCCAUCUCUCUUUCUCUGUGUAACUGCUCUUUGGCUAUAUUUAUCCUGAGGACUGAGGUCUUGGCGCCAGACCGUUUAAGACCUGUCAGAGUCCCUCAUAUUCCCGCGUCACAUAGCCAAGGCAAAAAGUCUUCCAGCCUUAAAAACUAAACCGAUCCCCCUCGCCCCCCCAACCCCUGGUCAUGGUCAAUUCCCUCACUUCACUCUUCGCGUUCGUUGAUUCAUUCAUUCAUUCGUCCAUCCAUCUAUUUGUUCAAAUCUGGGUUUAAUCCCGUUGCGUCGCAUCAGUCUUUGGGGGUUUAGAAAUUUGCUCUUCGUCGUGACUGUCUCAUCUCAUUUACCCUAGUCAGUGGGGCCGCGGUCCAGUUCCCUACCCCCGCCAGUUCAACAAAGUCUAACGGAUUGUUGAAAACUAUCAUUAUUUAUUCAUAGCAACAAUCGUUGGCGUGCACUCCUUACCCAAAUUUGCCCCAGUUUUCCUGAUGAUGCCCCCAUACCUACUCAUAUCGACCUACUCUCCUUAAUCCUCAAUUAUUCAUGCGGAUGCUUAUUAUCUAACAGGCUUAAAUAUAUAUUUACGCUACUGCAUGUUUAUAGAAGCAACUGUUAAAUAUAGGACACUCCAUAUGCCUUGUUCAUAAUAGCCUAAAUGUUAUUUCAGCUGGAGAUUAAAUUGAAUAUGGGCUAAUUAACCUGCGCCAAUUACUGCACACUCAUGGACUCCAUAAGGUGAUCUUGGCAGAAGCCUUAAGCCUUAACCUAUCAUUAGGUACUGUAGGCUAAUCAUGUCUGCGGGAGGAUACUGGCUCCGCUGGGAUCCUGGGAUGUGGGAAUUAAGGUCAAUACGAAGAGCACCUUUCACUUAGAUAUAACAGGCGGGAGCGCCAAAUUUAGGGCGGACAGGGAUUUGAAAAUAAUGUUUUUCAAUCUAAUUCGAUGUUUCACCACAAAGAAAAUGUAUCCAGACUAAACGAGUAUGUAUAUUGAUUUAAUUUGAGUGACUAUCGUAAGUCAUUUGUUUAUUCAAAACUGUAAUAUGCUAUAGCCCUCUGCAGUGAGGCUGUCAUUGCCAUCAUUAUAAUGAUUGCAUUCCCUUGUAGGCAACCACUCACAGUCGUCAUUACCUUUAGAAUGGAAUUGUGGGACUUUAUAUCCAUGUUCAUAACCUAGUUAUGUGACCCAUGUAUUUUACAUUCAUUGACCUAACAAUUAUUUUAUUUCUUCAUAGGAAGGGAUACACUUUCACUCUUUAAUUGAAAACUUGACUCACCUGCCGCACCACUGAGACGGUUGAAAACACGAAAUGGUUCGUCGAUCAAAGACAAGUUUUAUUCGGUAGAGUUAUUAAUAUCAAUUUGCUUCUUUUAAACAUAAAACGUUUUUAUGAUGACAAUAUCGACCCACAGUGGAUGCUUUAAAUGCCAUCUUCAUAGAGAAUUGAUUCAGUAGCUAAAGCUUUUUUGAAUAAUACAAAUAAAGUCAACAGGGACAAUUCGAAUAUACUUUUGUGGUUAUGGUAUAGCAGGGCUCGAUCUUGUUUGAGAAUCUUACACCAGUGUUUCCCACACGCCCAAACUACCUGCUUAUUGUAUGGACACAACAUUUUAGUGGGCCAUUAACUAUUUUCAGUUACAUUUCCAACAUCUUGGUUGUAGAACAACUAAUAGACACCAUUGUUGAAAUACAUCUGAUCAGCCCAACAAACUUGUUUAUCUUAACGGCUUACUAGUCACAUAUAAUAUAGCCCACAUAGGGCUAAGUAUUUUAAUUAACGAAUUAACUUGAUCAAUUAAUCUGUUGGAUGACCAUCAAAAAUGUAAAAUAAAGACGUACCAAAUGGCCUGUUGAUUCAAAGUUCAAAUCCAGAUUAUAAUUGGAAUAUGCAUGACUUUGAUACAUUUUACAUUAUUCUUUUUUGACAAUUAAAAACAGACUUUAAACAAUAAUUAAUAGGCUAACACGUGCUCUGGUCUAUAUUUUUUUGUAUAUGAAACAUUGAUGGUUUGUCUAUCGUUUACACUAAAGCCUCUCAUUCUAAACUGACAUUUCUCUUAAUAGCUACAUUUUACAUUAUUGAUACAAAUAUAUUUUUUUGUUAGUUUAUCAUUUAUUAAACACUUUUUACAUAUAAUAAUAUAUAUUAAUAUACUAUAAACAAGUACUCCAACUAUCACUGCAAGAACUGCAAGAAUAUUCAACAUUUCUAUCUGAAGACUGUUGGAACAUACCAGGGAAUGGAGGACUUUUUCAGACAGUCUAUCCUAAUGCUAAACUCUGUAUGAUCUCUCUAAAAUAGCCAUGUCAAUAUUCAAUAACAUUUCUGAUAAUGUGACAUAUCAUAUUUUUGACAUAUUUCGUGUGUCUGACAAUGUCUAAUGAACGCCACAAUUUGAUUAAUAAGCAUGUAAUAGCCUAGAAGGCCUACUGAACAUAAUUAAAAUCUUUAAAAAAAAAUCACUAUCCAUGAGUGUGUCUUAACAACUUAACUGCCAGCCAGAUACUUGUAAAACUAUAUUAAAUAUAUAUUUACAGAGCAGUGUCGUGCCUGUAGCGCUACCCUAUAAGGUCAUAGAAAAAUGUAUACGGUAUCUGAAUUCCUGCCCAAUAUCACACAUGGUAACCAAUAUUAUUUUUUAACUUAAGAAUUUCUGAUCUAAUAAUACAUGUGUAGUAAAGUAAAAAUCCAUGUGAGUGAGGACAAUUACAGAUGCAGUUUGAAGCGAGGGCGAGGAUUUCUUUUAAGGCUGUUGUCAGUGAGAUGAUGCCAGCCAAAGAGGUCAACUAAUGCCAAAUAUGUACAUUAUAUUCUUCCAUAUUACUCCUGAAGGACAAUGCUUAGAUCUUAGAUCUGUGUAACAGUGAAUCACUAUACAGACUGAGUCCUCAUACAAGGUGUGUGUGUGUUUGUGUAUCUGUUUUUCAUUCCUUCAAUAAAGACAACUUCAGUGCUACGGUUGGCCUUUUUCUCAUCCUAUAUGAAUUAUGUUCCAGCUACAAAAAAAGCACUUAAUGAGUUGUUUUGUCUGUACUCUGGUACAUGUCCACAAUCCCUCACACUGAACCCUGAAGCAGAGAAACAAGUCUGUUUAGCUGAUUCAUUAUAUGGUUCAAGGUUUUCUUUUGAAGACAUUAUUUGAAACAGACACAAACUUUUCACUGAAGAAAUUAUAUUGUCUCUUGUCAAUGCUCACUUGAAACAAGUCAUAUUGUACUGACAGUAUAACAGCAGACUCAUAACCAUUUCUGAUUCAUUUAAUAAGGAAUCAGUGUCCAGUGAAUAUGAGCCUUUUUUUUACACAAAACAAAAGAGUUACCAUCACUGAGGUUAGACCUAAAACAAAACUAACUUUGCUGCAUUACUGUUCACAAUGUGAUACAACAAGCAGAAAGUUCAAAAAAUACGGUAUCAUCGUUACCACACUGCAUGUGAUUGCAGGUGUCAAGGGCAGUGUCAUGCUAGGGGCAUUCUAUGAGUUGCUGUAAGCACUAUAAAGCUGCCUUUGGACCAGGCUAGAGGGCAUGUCCAGGUUAAUAAUGAUUCAUGAAGCCUUCAUUAACUAUUGGCAUGCUUCAUGAUUGUCAACAAAGUGGGAUUUAUCAUAUUAUAUGAAAUGAAAACCAUCUGACCAUCACGUGUGAUGGCCUUUGGACUAAAUUGUGCCGCUGAUGCUGCUGCUUUAGCACAACGUCCAUUACGUUACCCAUUCAUUUAGCAUUUGGUAAAGCAAUAAUCAUAUAAUAAAAAAAAGAAGUGUACAAAUCUAUGUGAACUAUCUUGCGGGUUACUUUGUUGUUUUCUUGGUUGGACAGAGUGUUUUCCAAACUUUGUGUUGGUUGGUCAUCCCAUGGGUCUGUCUUGACUCAGUGAUUUUCCCCUGAUCAAAGGCCUAGCAGAGAAUGAGGGGGAGGCCAGCUAACCUCCUGUGUUGUGGACUGUAAGGUGGAUGCAAUAACCUGAAAGGUCAGCAUCUCCCCACAUCAACACUGCCACACUGACCGGUGGAAUGUUCACAUCAGGGUCAGGAGCAUCAGAAGAAGACUAAAAGGAUCCAGCAAAUGUGUUUGUUGUGUCAUCAUAGUGGUCUCUGACUUGUGGUCAGACUCAGUCAGGUGGAACAACAUGACUGAUUUUCUGCUAGCUAGAGGUUAAACUUAAAUGUUUUCCUUUUUUUAAGGCUGAAUUGAAUGUCAUUGGGAAAACAGAAAGGGGUCAUAAUAUACAAUAUAUAUUUUUGCAAACAUUCUUUAUGAAUAUAAGGGUUACCAACACAUAAGGUAAUCAUCUAGUUUUUCUAAAGUGUCUGUAAUCUGAUUACAAUAUUUUUGCUAGUAACGUAAUUGAUUAGUUACAAUUUGGUUGUAAUCAGAUUACAUGUAAUCAGUUACUUCCAAACACUGGUGGGAGGGGUAUACCAUCUUUACCAUCGGACACUAAUCAACUGAUUAUAAAAAAAUGACAUACUCUCUCCAUUGCUUGUUGAAGGUGUUUGAUAUAGGCUGUUAAAUUGAGGUGGGUUAACAAUAUGUAUUUGUCAAAGGCUCUGGACAGUGAGACUAUCAGUAUCUGUCAGAUGGAAUGCAUUAUCUCAGUAACCAGAAAUAUGUGUAAACAUCUUGGGAACAAUUUGCUCAAAAUAUUAAAGGCAAAGUUUUUUCAAAUUA